AAGACGCCUAGCCAAAGGCCACACCCCCACGGGACCCAGCAGUAAUAAACAUUAAGCAAUAAGCGACAACCAAAGCUUGACUUAGCUAUGAUAAACAUCAGGGCUGGUAAAUUUCGUGCCAGCCACCGCGGUUACACGAAAAGCCCAAAAUAAUACCCACCGGCGUAAAGCGUGACUAAAAAAGAGUUUUAAAAAGAAACUUUAAACCCCCUCUAAGUUAUAAAACACAUCAAGAGAACAGGAAACUCCAAAUUUCACCCAAAAACACUUUGACUCACGAAAACUAAGAAACAAACUGGGAUUAGAUACCCUACUAUGCUUAGCCGUAAACAUAGAUUUUUUUAAGAACACAACUAUCCGCCAGAGAAUUACCAGUGAAAAACUUAAAACUCAAAGGACUUGACGGUGUCUCAUAUCAACCUAGAGGAGCCUGUCCUAUUAUCGAUACCCCACGAAAAACCUCACCCCCAUUAGCAUGUCAGCCUAUAUACCGCCGUCGUCAGCCUACCUUGUGAAAGACCCAAAGUAGGCACAACAAGUCAAACCACAAAAACGUCAGGUCAAGGUGUAGCACAUAUGGCGGAAAGAGAUGGGCUACAUUUCCUAAAAGGACAAACAAAAAUAUUGCCCUUGAAAAAGCAUAAUACGGUGGAUUUAGUA
rnacentral:rRNA from 1 species